UACGGGGGGGGCAAGCGUUGUUCGGAAUUACUGGGCGUAAAGGGCUCGUAGGCGGCCAACUAAGUCAGACGUGAAAUCCCUCGGCUUAACCGGGGAACUGCGUCUGAUACUGGAUGGCUAGAGAUUGGGAGAGGGAUGCGGAAUUCCAGGUGUAGCGGUGAAAUGCGUAGAUAUCUGGAGGAACACCGGUGGCGAAGGCGGCAUCCUGGACCAACACUGACACUGAAGAACGAAAGCCAGGGGAGCAAACGGG
rnacentral:rRNA from 1 species